rnacentral:rRNA from 1 species
ACGAACGCUGGCGGCGUGCUUAACACAUGCAAGUCGAACGGAAAGGCCCUGCUUUUGUGGGGUGCUCGAGUGGCGAACGGGUGAGUAACACGUGAGUAACCUGCCCUUGACUUUGGGAUAACUUCAGGAAACUGGGGCUAAUACCGGAUAGGAGCUCCUGCUGCAUGGUGGGGGUUGGAAAGUUUCGGCGGUUGGGGAUGGACUCGCGGCUUAUCAGCUUGUUGGUGGGGUAGUGGCUUACCAAGGCUUUGACGGGUAGCCGGCCUGAGAGGGUGACCGGCCACAUUGGGACUGAGAUAAGGCCCAGACUCCUACGGGAGGCAGCAGUGGGGAAUAUUGCACAAUUGGCGGAAGCCUGAUGCAGCAACGCCGCGUGCGGGAUGACGGCCUUCGGGUUGUAAACCGCUUUCGCCUGUGACGAAGCGUGAGUGACGGUAAUGGGUAAAGAAGCACCGGCUAACUACGUG